GCCACUGUGGCUCAAUGGUUAGAGCAUCAGUCUACCCACCAAAGGGUCAUGGGUUCAAUUCCCAGUCAAGGGCA
rnacentral:tRNA from 1 species